CCUCUUGCCUCAGCCUCCUGAGUAGCUGGGAUUACAGGUGACUGAUUUGGGCUUUGAAUCCCUGUGAACCCUCUGGGUUACAUUAAGGGGUCCUGGAAUCUACAUAUCAAGUAUUAUCAAGGACAGAAUAACGUAUUGCAAUAUGUGUACUGCUCUUUUUCAUGCCAUUCUGGGUGGAAGAAGAGAAGGGAAUUGGGCCUGUUAACCUUCGCAUGUAACCAAGGAGCCGUUUAUGACUGGCCAGGUGCAAAUGCCAUAUCUAAUCUUUCCCUGUGUCUGCUGUGCAGCAGCUGCAGCAGUUGGAGGGAGUUGGGGAGUUAUUAAAUAUCAAGGAAAUGUUUGUGCCAGGACUGUCCUACUUCUGGGUGGUAAGAGAAAUGUACAAACUGUUUUCCAUUUAGAAAGAGUGGCAAAUGUUAACAGGGAAAAAGUUAUUCUUAGUGAGAUCCCAACAAUGGGGUUGAGGGCAAAGUGACCCAUCUGAGUCCAGAGGAAAAUUUGGGCCCCUUUUCCAGUCUGUUGCCCCUAUAGUUGCAAAAGCUUUUAAGUAUAUUUUCUUUACUCCCUCUGGAUCUCUGAUUAUGAGCAGGGCACUCAGAUACUCAAAGCCAAAGUAUAUUCCCCUGAGAAGCAAAAAACUUUCUUUAAUUCCUAUUAAUGCCCAAGGACAUUUGAAAGGUUAAUAAUAUAAUUUGGGUAAAGUAAAAUGAGAUCUUGAAGAGAAGGUAUCAUAUAAAAGGGAGGUUUGUAUGAGUUAUUCUAAUGA
rnacentral:lncRNA from 1 species